AUUUGCAGCUCCAGCGUCAGGAGCUCAGCUGGUUAUUUCUAGCUUGCUGAAUGUCAAAAAUCCAGGCUGCUUCUCACAGCAGCCUCCACACGUCAGACCAAAUCAAGGCAUCAGCACGUCAAGCAGCCAAAUCGGCUGCCCCAAGCACCAGCCUGGAGGCGCCGGCCCAGCCUCUUGCAGUGCACCUGACCCGGCCCCCGCGGUGCACCUGACCCAGGAGAGCUGUGUUCAGCUUACUGCGAGCCCUCUGCCCACGCUCUCGGGGCGCGGCUCCCACCUGCAGCCCGCGCCUGGUGCUUGCACAGUAUGAAGACUUCACUGGCCUGUGCAGCCGUCUGGGUUUUCCCCUUGUUGGGGCCAGCUGGCAGUCUGCCUGGAGAGAACGUGACCAUGGGAGCUAGGCUCUGUCGCUGAGCUCUGACCCCAGUGAAGGGAUUUCUGCCUUUCCUCUGGUCUCUUCUGAAAUCUCUUGGAACUGUCGCUUGGGUUACCUUGUCUGCCUUGAACAGCUCUCACCCCCAACUCCAGUUCUUUCCUUGGGUUCAAAUCACCCUGAUUGUUUAUGUCUCUGUACACAUCAAAGCAAUCCCAAGGAGCCACCGAAACUGGAACACUCCAGGCUGAGCGCUACUCUCAGGAGGCUGAUGGGCUUUUGUGAGGAGGGCGGAUCAUGUUUUCAUAAGAUGGGGCUGCAGUAGAACUCCAGAAGGUCCCAGCGGAGAGGCACCUAGUCGUCUGAAGGCAGCAACUGUCUCAAGGGCCUGUGCCCCACUGUCCAGUGACCGUUCAAACCACUCACUUGUCUUGCUCCCUUUUACCCUUGUCUUUCUGCCUGAUCAAGACCCUGACCUGGCUGCUAUUGGUUUGGCCCUCGUUUUGUUGGUCCUUUCUAACCUGCAGAGCAGAUAGGGGUAAACAAGCCCAGAGUCUGGCCACCCUCUGAGGGACCCCAGGCACUGCCUGUCCUGUUGAACCAUGUCUGGAGGUCUUCCUGGAGUUUGAGGACUAUCUUUCCAGUUCCUUGUUAAAGACUGUAACUUGAAAUCCGAUUAAAUAUUUGUCAGUCGAGGAUGGAUGGAGUUGUGGGUCAUUACUGUGACACCUCAGA